ensembl:lincRNA uncharacterized LOC102017890
GUCCAAUUUGUGCCACCCACUCUGACUGUUGCCAAAGUACAAGCACUGCAGAGGGCAGACUCAGGUGCUGGAGAAUUGGGACAGUUUCCCAGCUUAUUGAGGAGCGCCCAAGAGCAUGUGAAAUCUAUUAAGAGAAACCAGAGCGACAGCUGUAGCCAUAGCUGAAAAGAAAUCUCCUCAGUUUAUGGAACAUCACUUUGCCGGUUUGGAUUCUGGUGAUAACAGAUCUCAUUCACGUGAGUUCACUGAGGAGCAGGACUGAAGUGACCCUUUACAAAGUGAAGGCGGGACAAAGGGACCUACAGCACGGUGCAGUAUCCACCUCCCAGAACAAGAGGGGCCAUUCCCACACCCUGCCUGAAGGGGCAAGAGGAAGGAGAGCUUACUGGAGCAUGAGGAGCAGCUAUGACUUCCCAGCAGGAAUGGCGACUUCCAAGAAAAGACCACAGUUACCCAAAGCCCCGCAAAGAGAGAGUAAGCAUGGGCAACAGACUCCCCAACCUCUUUCUCCUGCACCCCUCCAAGAUCCUACCCAGCAGGAGGCCUAGCCUUCAGGGACCCAGAGCCCGAAAGAGGCAAAUCUGCAAAGGCAGAUAGACAGUAGCAGCAAAUAAACAUUUCACAAAAACAGCUCAACUGUACAGUUUCUAAGGAUGCCUUACAUGAAUUAGUAAACAUUAUAUACAAGUACUGUUGGUAUCCUACUUUUAAAUUAGCCUUAGAGCUGGGCAUGGUGGUACAUGCCUAUAAUUCCAGCACUUGAGAGGCUGAGGCAGGAGGAUUGUUGAGAGUUUGAGACCAGCCUGGGCUACAAAGUGAGCUCAAGGCCAGCCUUAAACUGCAUAGCGAGACCCUGUCUCAAAAAGACCAAAAAAAAAAAAAAAAAAAAAAAAAAAAAAAAAAAAAAAAUAGCCUUAGAGGUAUUAGUUGUAACUUUGUUGGAUCUUGGCCUCAUAUGGAUUUGCAAUUUUAGUUGGAACUUACCAUGAAUGUCAUUUUGAAGCUUGAUCCACUUAUUACUCACCUGACUCACACGGUAGAUUUCUGUCUCUGUUCUUAGCAGGAUACUUUACCAUACUGUGAAAAGUUUUUCAUUUACCCACCCCUGCAGUUAUCCCCUCAAGCUGGCUUAUUAAACACAAAUUAAUAAGUAAUAAUGAACUCCCCCCUCCAAUAAAAACAAACAAAAAACAAAGCCAUCUUUCUGAGCAUGCAUGUAUCUGGGGUUUCCAGUGAGAUGUGUUAAAAUAGGUCUCAAGCUCCCAGUAGGCUAUUGAUCUUAAAAAUUCUACCUAUUGGGGCUGGGGAUUUAGCUCAGUGGCACAGCACCUGCCUGGCAAGCACAAGGUCGUGAGUUCGAUUCCCAGUACUGGGGGAAAAAAAAAAAUCUA